UACGGGAGGCAGCAGUGGGGAAUAUUGCACAAUGGGCGCAAGCCUGAUGCAGCCAUGCCGCGUGUAUGAAGAAGGCCUUCGGGUUGUAAAGUACUUUCAGUCGUGAGGAAGGUGUUAAGGUUAAUAACCUUAGCAAUUGACGUUAGCGACAGAAGAAGCACCGGCUAACUCCGUGCCAGCAGCCGCGGUAAUACGGAGGGUGCGAGCGUUAAUCGGAAUUACUGGGCGUAAAGGGCACGCAGGCGGUUAAUUAAGUUGGAUGUGAAAUCCCCGGGCUUAACCUGGGAAUGGCAUUCAAGCUGGUUAGCUAGAGUCUUGUAGAGGGGGUAGAAUUCCAUGUGUAGCGGUGAAAUGCGUAGAGAUGUGGAGGAAUACCGGUGGCGAAGGCGGCCCCUGGACAAAGGCUGACGCUCAUGUGCGAAAGCGUGGGGAGCAAACAGGGAUUAGAUACC
rnacentral:rRNA from 1 species